CAAGGGGUGUAAAGUGCAUAUACCGCCCAUUGGACGUAGCAGAUUUCGUGGUGAAACGAACAGUCAGUGCCACUGUCGUUGGCGUUCCGGGUGCUUGCCACAGAAUAGGACGGCCGCAGUGCAUCAUUGUUUCCUCGUGUCAUGACGGCCAAAGCAACGCUCUUGCUAACCAUGGCGUGUGCGACGCUGCUUACUUUUGUGAGUGAGGCAGAGGGCAUCGUGUGUCCUUCGGACUACUGCGAAAAACAGGGACCAUGCAAGCCUGUCGACGCAGCUGCCUGCGACGGAGUCGUAAAACCAAACGCCACUUUCUGCGCCUGCUGCCCUGCCUGUAUCAAAUUACUCGCUCUGAAUGAGUCAUGUCUACCAAUGUUGCUAAUGGGAACCCCGCCUACCGUUGAAUGCAGCACAGGUUUAUCUUGCAACAGUACUACGGCGACAUGCCUCCCAAUAACUGGACAGUAACAUGGAACGUGGAAUCUGGUCUUCUGCUUUAGCGUCGCCUUCGUGGAAUCAAAUAAAUGAGAGAUGAAUGGUGA